UUUAAAUACAACCAUAAAUUUCUGAGCUCAACUUUGACCAUCCGUCUUAUUUGAAAUUUUUAAUAAUUAGUAUUUUUGUUGUUAUGAGAUGAUAAAAUAUGAAUAGUACUUUACUCGUGACUUAGGCUGUGUUUAGUUCCACGCUAAAAUUGGAAGUUUGAAGAAAUUAGAACGAUAUGAUGGAAAAGUUGGA
rnacentral:pre_miRNA from 1 species